AAUAGCCGAUACGAAACAGACGCUGGAAUGCACUGUAUUCCAAAGACAUCGCUGAAGGAUGCGGCUGCGGCCGAUUAGGUAGACGGUGGGGUAACGGCCCACCGUGCCAGUAAUCGGUACGGGUGAUGAGAGUCAGAGCCCGGAGACGGAAUCUGAGACAAGAUUCCGGGCCCUACGGGGCGCAGCAGGCGCGAAACCUUUACACUGCACGAAAGUGCGAUAGGGGAAUCCCAAGUGCGAGGGCAUAUUAGCCCUCGCUUUUGUUGACUCUAAGGCGGUCAACGAAUAAGAGCUGGGCAAGACCGGUGCCAGCCGCCGCGGUAAUACCGGCAGCUCAAGUGAUGUCCCAUAUUAUUGGGCCUAAAGCGUCCGUAGCUGGCCGACCAAGUCUAUCGGGAAAUCCACCUGCCCAACAGGUGGGCGUCCGGUAGAAACUGGCCGGCUUGGAACCGGAAGGCUCAGAGAGUACGUCCGGGGUAGGAGUGAAAUCCCGUAAUCCCGGACGGACUACCGAUGGCGAAAGCACUCUGAGAAGACGGCUUCGACAGUGAGGGACGAAAGCUCGGGUCUCAAACCGGAUUAGAUACCCGGGUAGUC
rnacentral:rRNA from 1 species